rnacentral:rRNA from 1 species
UACGUAGGGGGCAAGCGUUGUCCGGAUUUAUUGGGCGUAAAGAGCGUGUAGGCGGUUUGUCGCGUCUGCUGUGAAAACUGGAGGCUCAACCUCCAGCCUGCAGUGGGUACGGGCAGACUAGAGUGCGGUAGGGGAGAUUGGAAUUCCUGGUGUAGCGGUGGAAUGCGCAGAUAUCAGGAGGAACACCGAUGGCGAAGGCAGAUCUCUGGGCCGUAACUGACGCUGAGGAGCGAAAGCGUGGGGAGCGAACAGG